UGAAAAUACACCUAGACCUCAUGUAAAACUCUGCCUGAAACCCUAAACACUUCCUGAAACCCAAUCGAAACCUUUCGUGGAAUACAUCCCAGUGUCCUCUGUCGGAGAUUGCACCAAUGCCACACCGAAUGUAGAGGAAAGCGAUUGUCAUUGUCGUCAGAAAAGAUCUUGUUACCAUCGCCAGAGAAGAAGAUCGCCAUUGCCGGAGAAGAAGAUAUGUUUUCGCCGUUAGCAGAGAAGAAGGCCUCUUUUCAUUUUUGCAGGGGGAAAAAUCUUAUUUUUUCGUUGUCUCUACUCAACUGAAGGUUUAUUGUAUGUAAACCUUGGAGAAAUCUUGAACCGAACAUUAGAUUCUUCAAUUUUGAAGAUCUAGGGUUUCAUUUCAAUUUUCCUCUUAUGAUUGGGUUCUCUCUCUCUCUGGUUCGGUGACGAAGCAACCCAGGAGAGAAAAUGUUGAAGGCAAGAGCUAAAAGGGAAUAUUGACUUAAAUUGUUUUUCAGCAACUCUGAUAUUUGAGCUUCUUCAUCAGAUCUUUCUAAACCAUCUCUUUGGAUCAGUUUCACUGAAGACAAUGAUGCUGAAUGACAGAAUCCAGAACUUCAAUACUCUCCAGUCUGUUUUGAGGAAGGCAAUGGAAUAUCUCUCCACAGUUGCUCCAGAUAUGCCAUAUUCAGAGAGUUUGAUCACAAGUUCCAGGAGCUUGGUCUGGAGAAGGGGUGGGGUGACACUGUUGAACGUGUAUUAAAGAUGAUAAGUCUUCUGUUGGGGUUUCUUGAGGCACCUGAUCCAUGUACCCUAGAGAAAUUUCUUGGGAAAAUCCCUGUGGUCUUCAAUGUUGUUAUCCUUUCACCCCAUGGUUACUUUGCCAACAAUAAUGUGGAGGCGAAAUUGUGUAUAUUUUGGAUCAAGUUCGUGCCUUGGAGAGUGAGAUGCUUUAACGCAUAAAACAACAACGACUUGAUAUAAUCCCUCGACUCUUAGAAAACGGUGAUUCAUUGCUCUUAAAAUUAAGGGAUAACCCCUGAUAUUGAUCACUCACCGAAGUAGGAGCUUGCGACUGAAACUUGUGAGGGAGAAAUCCUGUGUGGCUGAAACUCGCAAGGAAGAAAUCCCUUGAUACUGUAAUUUAGAGCUUGGUGAUCAAGAAGAAGCUUGGUCAUCCCUUAUUGAAGGAGGUGAGAAAACAUAUAGAUUGAAAGAGGGUUAAAAGUGUCUGAAAUGUUAUUUUAAAAGUAAUAUGGGGAUUAAAUAAAAUUGCAAUGACAGAUUUUAAAUGAAAUGCUAAUGGAAAGAGUCUUUGUCUCACGGUCAUAAUAUAGAGGUCUUUAUCGCAAAACAAAGUACAGGGGUCUUUGUCACAGACCUAAUAGUACAGGAGCGGUCUUUGUAAUUUACCCUCUUUUUAAAACAUUUAUUGGCGCAAGUAUCCCUCUUUCUCAUCGUUUGGAUUAGGCUAAUAUCAAUUCCAUCCCACUAAGCCUUCUCUGCCCUCACCGGUAGUGUGUUGAUUACCUCCAGAUAGAAGGGUCCAAAGAGCUCAAAAAACCUUGCGACUGCUGGUUUCGGUAGUGGCGCCCGCUCCUUAGCCGAUAGCUGCUUCGUCGCCUGGAGCUGCGAAUAGAAGAUACGAAUUUUUAGCCUUUAAGGCAUAAUCACUCUUAGCGGCGUUGGUUCGUGGCACCAUUCAUUCCUACCUC